CGCGCAGGCGGUUGGUCAAGUCCGGCGUGAAAUCUCCCGGCUUAACUGGGAGAAGUCGUUGGAAACUGAUCAGCUUGAGGCAAUGAGAGGGGUACGGAAUUCCAGGUGUAGUGGUGGAAUGCGUAGAUAUCUGGAGGAACACCAGUGGCGAAAGCGGUACCCUGGCAUUGUCCUGACGCUCAUGUGCGAAAGCGUGGGGAGCGAACG
rnacentral:rRNA from 1 species